GUUCAUGUUAUUUGAGAGGCAGAGAAGGGGAGACAGAGAUAGAGAGACAAAAACACAGAUGUCUUCACUUCACUGGUUCACUCCACAUAGACUUGUAACAGCCAUGACAGAACCAGGCAGAAGCCAGGAGCAGAUAACACAGUUUGAGUUUCCCACUUGGGUGGUGGGGACACAAGUAAUUGAGCCAUCAUCUAUCUCUUCCACAAGCAGAAAACUGGAUUGGAAGCUGAGUAUCCAGGACUUGAACCAGACUCUUCCAUAUGGGAAGCGGAAGUCCCAAGCAAGAAGUGAUUUAACCCACUGCACCAAACAUCCUCCUCCUCUUCCAGUAUAUGUGUUGGAAUAUCUGUUGAAGAGUUAUUUUUGGUAAUGCCAAAAAACUCACAUAUCAUAAACAGCCCAUGUGUUUAGAAGAGCAUCACAGUUUCACUACUAAGUUAAAAUGGAAUCCUGAGUACAGAUGGCAAUUAGGAAACUCAGGACCUAGCAUGCUGCACCACACUAUCUGGGAACAAGAAGGAAAGCUAUUGCUGCAUCCAGUAAAAUCAAACCCUAAGCCUGAUACCAGAUCACUAGAGUCUUCUCUUGAAGGGGCAAUAGAAACCAGUGUCCCCAACUCCAGUCCUCUGAUCGACUUUUCCCUUGGGGAGCCCUCACUUUUUCUGCUAUCAACACUCUGCUGGCCUCUGGGAUCACAACUUCUUGAACUCUUCAUUACAAUUUUUUGUAGAAAACUGCGAAGAACCUGGAUAUUUAAAGAAGACUUUCACUGAAACACUUAUUAAUAAUAUCAAACUGAUAAAAAAAAGAAACCCAGACAUAAAUUUACAAUGACUUGGGAACACCUUCAGCGAUUCUUGCUUCUCAGUUCUUAACCUGCUUCUACAAUGUAGAUGGCAUCUUCCUUCACAACCUAGACAGCAACCUCAGCGUAGAUUCAUCAGAGACAUUUCAGUUACCUUUCACAGCUGAAGGCUGCUUCACAUGUUUUUAACAGCUGUCAGAAAUAUUGCUUCAUUUCACAAAGACACUGGAAGAGCAUAGCAUGAACGGCAAGUACUCAGCACAUGGGUCAGUCUGGCUCACAAAUGUCCUUGGCUUAAACCACAAAAAGCUGCAAGUAGCAACUUAGCUGAAGACAAUGAGUUCAACCUGGAGUUCAACUGCUCAGGAAUGCUCGCCUCUGGCCUGCCUACAAAAGUAUGCCUGAACAUCUCCACCUCACUCUAUUCUCUCUAACCAUUCGUCUUCAGACUCUUGGGGGUGGCUUGUAAAGUUGCUUUAGUAGAAAACAGUAAUAAACAACUUAUGAGAAGAUUUUUCUUUCA
rnacentral:lncRNA from 1 species